GUAGGGAAUAUUGCGCAAUGGACGAAAGUCUGACGCAGCGACGCCGCGUGAGUGAUGAAGGCCUUAGGGUCGUAAAGCUCUGUUGAAUGGGAAGAAAAAAAUGACGGUACCAUUCGAGGAAGGACCGGCUAACUUCGUGCCAGCAGCCGCGGUAAUACGAGGGGGCCUAGCGUUGUUCGGAAUCAUUGGGCGUAAAGGGUGUGUAGGUGGCCAUGUAAGUCAGGUGUGAAAGCCCCGGGCUCAAACCGGGAAGUGCACUUGAUACUGCGUGGCUUGAGUACCGAAGAGGGUAGUGGAAUUCCAGGUGUAGUGGUGAAAUACGUAGAUAUCUGGAGGAACACCGGUGGCGAAGGCGGCUACCUGGUCGAGUACUGACACUGAGACACGAAAGCAUGGGGAUCAAACAGGAUUAGAAACCCUGGUAGUCC
rnacentral:rRNA from 1 species